rnacentral:rRNA from 1 species
UGGGGAGCAAACAGGAUUAGAUACCCUGGUAGUCCACGCCGUAAACGAUGAUAUUUAGUCGGUGGAGAAUUCACUGACGCAGCUAACGCAUUAAAUGAUCCGCCUGAGUAGUAUGCUCGCAAGAGUAAAACUUAAAGGAAUUGACGGGGACCCGCACAAGCGGUGGAGCAUGUGGUUUAAUUUGAAGAUACGCGGAGAACCUUACCCACUCUUGACAUCCUU